UACCUCCCAUGAGCCCCAAGCGCAAGGAUUCUGUCACAGCCCCUAUGGACAGACGGGCACCCUCAGAGUGCAUUCAGACAGAAGAAGUACACAAACUUCAUUCUGAUGCAGAAGGAUUUCAUGCUUUUAUUGAUAAGUGUCACCUCUGCUGUGCUUUCCCCCUUGUUCUUGCAGAGAAAGGGGUGGAUCGCCUCUCACUUUCUGACAUUCUGUCCUAUGUACAAACUUCAGAGCUGUGUAUUCCAGAGGCCUUCAAAACACAAACAAGGAAUUACAGUGGUCCCACAGCAUGGCCAUGCAGCAUUCCCCAUGGGAAUGUGGCAGGAGGGGAACUGCAGCCAGAGCACCGCCACCGUGACAACUGAGCUGGCAUUUCCCCUCCAAAGCCAUGCCUUCUGCAGACAAAAAAAUGCACGCUCAACCUGCAGGCCUCCGCAAGAGCACAGCUCACCUUCACUCUCCUCAUUUCAUCCACGUUGGCAUCUGCAGGGAGAUCCUGAAUGAGUGCCCAGCCAUCAGCAGGGGAGAGACCUUCCCCAGCCACCAGCACAAAUGCCCCCAUGGGCAUCCUCUGCCAAAAUCAUCACCCUUACAGCUUCCUACAACGACUCCUGAGGUCUGCCUUGCAGCCCCAAGAAAAUGCCCUGUGCUGUAGGGAGGCGGGUUUUGCUUCUGCACGAUAUUGGGUGGAGGCUGCUCUGUUGCUGAGAAUUGUCCUCACCCAAAAAAGUGCUCUCAACAGACACAUUUCCUCUGAAACACUGUCCGCUCAGUGCAGAGUUUGAAAGUGAAACUGUGGUAAAUUCCCAGCAGUGUCAGCUACAGGAGUGGAGACUGUAUAGCAGGGUGAAGAGAAUGAGACCAUAUUUGUCAAGGAGGUUUAGAGAGAUGAUUCCGGAAUAGUAUAGGGACUACAUCCUGAAAAAUUAACUUUAUUAGCAUUGAUUGUCAUGAGCACGUGGAGAUAAUACUGACUUAAAACACAGCAUUUGGGAUCAUCUCUGCAUUGUACUCAGUGCCUAGAAAGGAAGGGUGCAAGGGACUGAAACUUACAGUAAGAAUCGUGGUCGGCAGGAGAUCCCUCAGCACUACCAGCACCAUGGAGAGAGACAGAGAGAGCAGAGAGAAAAGGCACUGAGGUUCCACAAAGCAUCCAAGGGCCACUGGAGAUAUUCCCAGGGAAAAGUGCCUCCAUCUCCUCUCGUAUUGCAAUCCCUCCUCUACACGAGGGAAUCCACUGACAAAGCUCACACUGAAAAAGGAGCAGCACCCCAGGGUCCCAGAUGCCCACCAAUUACCCAGACCUGCCACUUCCUGCUCACCUACAGCAUCUCUUCCCACAAGCACCUGAAAGAAGAAGAGUCCCACAUCAGAGCUUUGACAGCCUCAUGGAUCCCACACAGUACUCAUAAGCCCAUAAGCCCUGACCUUUCUUGA
ensembl:lncRNA